rnacentral:lncRNA from 1 species
AGGUGUAAGGAACACUUAUAUCCCAUCAGAGACAUUCUCGACAGCAGAAUGCUCUAGAGUUGGUCACAUUCAAUGAUGAUGGACCCUUAUAUCUCACCUAUAUGCCAUACCAGUGUCUCCACACUCCUUGGUUAAAAGGACAACCAACCCAUAUGGCCUACAGCGACCUAUGCUCGAUAGAAGCUGUCAUCCUUAUUAACAAUUUAUCAUUUGAUCGUGAAUAGUUUUAAGGACUAAUCGAUAAAUUCUCUCUUUAUCGAACCUAAAUAGUCCUAAGGACUUCAUCACAACAACGGAGUUCAUUAGAAGAUGAAAACUUAUGAUGAAC